rnacentral:rRNA from 1 species
GACGAACGCUGGCGGCGUGCUUAACACAUGCAAGUCGAACGGAAAGGCCCUGCUUUUGUGGGGUGCUCGAGUGGCGAACGGGUGAGUAACACGUGAGUAACCUGCCCUUGACUUUGGGAUAACUUCAGGAAACUGGGGCUAAUACCGGAUAGGAGCUCCUGCUGCAUGGUGGGGGUUGGAAAGUUUCGGCGGUUGGGGCUGGACUCGCGGCUUAUCAGCUUGUUGGUGGGGUAGUGGCUUACCAAGGCUUUGACGGGUAGCCGGCCUGAGAGGGUGACCGGCCACAUUGGGACUGAGGUACGGCCCAGACUCCUACGGGAGGCAGCAGUGGGGAAUAUUGCACAAUGGGCGGAAGCCUGAUGCAGCAACGCCGCGUGCGGGAUGACGGCCUUCGGGUUGUAAACCGCUUUCGCCUGUGACGAAGCGUGAGUGACGGUAAUGGGUAAAGAAGCACCGGCUAACUACGUG